GUCAGAAGCUUAUCAGCCGGUAACGUGACUACUGUGCACUGAUAUAAUUUGUGAUACAAACAUGCUUUAUUCAAUACUGAGUAGCAUUUUUAAACGGCGACAUUUUGAACAUUUUUAUAUUUAGAGUGAAAGUGGAUACACGUUACACUGGCGCCGACAUUUUGAAAAUUUGAGGAAACAAAAACAUUCUCCAACGAGUUCUUCAGCUCGGGGAAUGAAAGAAUAGAUUCACCUUUGUGUCACUUUUCAGAUCGUAUUUAAUUCCUUUCCGGUACUUUAGUUUCUUUGAACAUCUUUGUUACUAAGCCUAUAUUGAAUUUUUAAAAUUAAGAAAUCCGUGAUACUUGCAGGCAUGACUGAUUAAUGGAAUUAUUUUACUUUUAUAUAGAAUAUGGACGCCACUCCAUUACAGCAUGUGCAUGGUUGGACCUGUUGACAUUUUUAGAAACGCAUCUUGGUCUAUUAUACAGAGUAUUGUUGUACUGCUCCAAAGUGCUUGUUGACAGACUGAAACCACUUGCUUGCGGCUCAUAAGGUUCACUUCUUGAGAGCAGGCAGCUACAAAAUGGAAGGUCAACAAAUCCAGUAUACUUGAAAAGCAAGAAAGAAACACCAGAAAAUAUAAAAAGACAGAAGAACAAGGGAACUUUAAUAAAAAAACAAAACUUUUAAGGAUAGGAAUUCAGGAUUUACUUAGAAACUAAAUUUAUUUUGAGAACAGCAGUGUUUGACUAAGCUCUGUUACUUUAAGAGAUAAUGUAUUAUCACAUUGGUUUUGUUAUUGUCGAGCCCGCUUGCAGAAGCGAAGACAUAGUUUUCCAAAUGUCUAUUCGGUGUAUGUGCGUGCAUCCGUCCGGAUUUAUUUGUCCGGACCAUAAUUUGGACAUGCAUGGAGCAAUCUUGUUUAUAUAUGGUAUGAAUGUUAACCUCAGUGAGACGGAGUGUCAUGCGCAAGCCCCAGGUUCCUAUCUCAAAGGUCAAGAUCACACUUACAGGUCAAAGGUCAAAUUCAAAAAUGACUUUGUCCAGAGGAUUUCUUCUUCAUGCAUGGAGGGAUUUUGAUGUAACUUGGCACAAUUGUUCACCAUCAUGAGAUGGAGUGUCAUGCGCAAGAACCAGGUCCCUAGGUCUAAGGUCAAGGUCACACUUAGAGGUCAAAGGAUACAAGAAUGACAACUUUGUCCAGAGGAUUUCUUCUUCAUGCAUGGAGGGAUUUUGAUGUAACUUGGCACAAUUGUUCACCAUCAUGAGAUGGAGUGUCAUGCGCAAGAACCAGGUCCCUAGGUCUAAGGUCAAGGUCACACUUAGAGGUCAAAGGAUACAAGAAUGACAACUUUGUCUGGAGCAUUUCUUCUUCAUGCAUGGAGGGACUUUGAUGUAACUUGGCAUAAAUGUUCACCACCAUGAGGCGGAGUGUCGUGCGGAAGAACCAGGUCCCUUGGUCUAAGGUCAAGGUCACACUUAAGGUCAAAAGUCAGAUACAAGAAUGACUUUGUCUGGAGCAUUUCUUUUUGAUGCAUAGAGGGAUUUUGAUUUAACUUGGCGCAAUUGUUCAUCAUCAUGCGACGGAGUGUCAUGCAUAAGGUCCUAGAAUUACUUCCCUUUGUUGUUACUAUAAAUAGCUUACAUUUGUAACUUUUUUAUUACUGGUCGUAGGGAAAAAUCAAGACCACUUUUCUGUAGUACAACAUGCAUGUUACAUCCAAUUUUCAGGUGUAUUUUGACCUAUCUCUGCUGGUGCGGAUUUUUGUGUGGACUUAGAAUUUUUUUUAUAUUUUUUUUUUUUAAUUUUUUUUAAUUUUUUUUUUUUUUAAUUUUACGUUCCUUUGUUGUUACUGUAAAUAACUUAUAUUGUAACUUUUUGCAGUCUCUUUUAUUUGGCAUAAAUGUUUGCCUCAAUGAGACAAGGAGUGUCAUGCACAACUCCCAGUCCUUUUGACAGCUGGCGGGCUUGACAUAUUGCCUGUGGUCAUCUAGUUCUCAUAUUUUUCAUGAGAUUUUAAAGAGAAUGUUCUGUUAUACCCUCGUGUAGUAAGCUUGUCUGUCUGAUUUAAAUAUUUUUUGGUACAUAGUUACAGGUCAAGUUCGACUUUGGGGUCAGUAGGUCAAAGGUCAAGAUAACUUGCAAACGUUUUGGCGUGGGAUCAUAGCUUUUGCAACACAGGUGUAACAUGAUAAAAUACAGGUUGUUUGAAUUUGAGGUCAAUAGAUCAGAGGUCAAGGUCACAGUGACCUUGAACAGUUGAACCGUUUCCGAAUGAUAACUUUGGACCUUGAGCCUAGGAUGAUAAAGUUUGGUACACAGGUGUCACAUCAUGAAAUACAGGUCAAGUUUUACUUUGAGGUCAGUAGGUCAAGGUCACAAUAAGGCAAAACAGUGAAAUGUUUUUCAGAUUAUAACUUGAGAAUGCUUGAGCCUAGGAUAAUGAAAAUUGUUAGGGAGGUUAAUUAUGACCAGCAGGUGACCCCUAAUGAUGUUGAGGUCAGUAGGUCACAGGUCAAGGUCACACUGACCCGGCUCUUUAAAAUGAUGCAUGGAGGGGCACCUGGGGUCUUCCUCCACCACUAAAACUGGAAAGUCGCCAUAUGACCUAUCCCAGUGUCGGUGUGAUGUUAUGUUCAACAAAAUAAAUACAGUUCUUUAAAACGGUUUUUGGACAAUAACUUCAGGAUGCUUGGGAUGAGAAACACAAAAUUUAGUACAAGGUUGGUCUUGACCAGCAGAUUACCUGUAUUGAUUUAUAGUUCCAAAGGUCAGGAUGACCCGGAACAUUUAAACCUUUUCCAUACAACAACUUGAGAACACUUGGGCGGAGGAUCAUGAAACUAUGGAGAUUGAAUUUGAGGUCAUUAGGUCAUAGCUCAAGAAAAUGCUACUUUGAUAUUGGCUUAGUUCUGUGAUAAGGCCAUAUUGUAGGGGUAUAAUUCAUCACUUCUGUGACAACUCUAGCGUUUAGCUCACCUGAGCACAAGGUGCUCAAGGUGAGCUUAUGUGAUCACCCUGUGUCCGUCCGUCGUCAACAAUUUUACUGUUAACACAUUUUGACCUAAUCUUUAUGAAACUUGGUCAGAAUGUUACCCUAAAAAAAAUCUUGGACACAUUUGAUGUUGGGUUAUCUUGGAUCAAAAACUAGGUCACCAAGUCAAAUCAAAGGAAAAGCUUGUUAACACCGUAGAGGUCACAUUUAAGACUAUAUCUUCAUGAAACUUGGCCAGAAUGUUAAUCUUGAUGAUCUCAAGGUCUAGUCUGAAUUUGGGUUAUGUAGGGUCAAAAACAGGUCGAUAGGACAAAUCAAAGGAAAAGCUAGUUUACAUUCUAGAAGCCAAAUUUAUGACCAUAUCUUAAUGAAACUUGGUCAAAAUGUUAAUCUUAAUGAUCCAUAUAUCAGAUUCAAAUCUGGGUCAAGUGGGGUCAAAAACUAGGUCACCAGGUUAAAAUAAGGGAAAAGCUUGUUAACACUCUGGAGGUCACAAUUUUGGCCCAAUCUUAAUGAAACUUGGUCAGAAUGUUACCCUCAAUAAAAUAUUGGACAAGUUUGAUAUUGGGUCGUCUAGGUUCAAUAACUAGGUCACCAGGUCAAAUCAAAGGAAAAGCUUGUUAACACUGUAGUGGCCACAUUUAUGACCAUAUCUUAAUGAAACUUUGUCAGAAUUUUAAUCUUGAUGAUCUAUAGGCCAAGUUAAAUCUAGUUCAGGUGGGAUUAAAAAUUAGGUCACUAGGUCAAAUCAAAGGAACAGCUUGUUAACACUCCAGAGGCCACAUUUAUGACUGCAUCUUCAUGAAACUUAAUCAGAAUGUUAAUCUUGAUGAUCUUUCAGUCAGGUUUGAAUCUAGGUCAUGUGGGGUCAAAAACUAGGUCACCAAGUCAGAUCAAAGGAUAAGCUAGUUAACUCUUUAGAGGCUACAUUUAUGAUCAUAUCUUAAUGUAACUUGGUCAGAAUGUUGAUCUUGAUGAUCUUUAUGUCAAUAUGUCAGGCGAGUGAUACAGGACCAUCAUGGCCCAUCUUGUUUAUUUGUUCUUGUUGUAAGAGAAAUUGUACAUUCUAGAAUACAAAUUACAGCAAGUUUCAUUUUCUCUAUUUUGACAAUACUUAUUUCAAAGCCUGACAAAAGCAUCCAGUACUGUUAUUAAAAGUUGUUAUUCACAGUUCAGCUAUAUUUCAUGUAUGGAUAAAACAAGUUAUUUGAUCUGUGAUCAUUAUAAAUGUGUAUACAGAUAAAACUUAAACAUGUGAACAGUUUAUUCAAUAAAUAAAGUGUAAUGCAAGUC